GUUGGAGACGGUUUUCGGACUAUUUUUGACCCUCUAGACUCUUCAGUUGGAGAUGGCCUUAGUAUUUUUUUUUCUUUUGAAUUUUUGCAGUAUUCAUAGCUGGUACAUGAGUAGGAGAAAAAAUUAUAUUAAACAAGACAAAGUAGCAUGUAUGAUUCUACUUUUUAUUAUUAAUAUAUAAUAAUAUGAUUAAAGAAACAAAAUUUCAAAUAAAACAUAUCUAUAUAUACCAUAACUAAACAUGACAAAACAAAUUUGAGAAAUUUUGAAUCGUAUAUGUAAAUUCCACCCAAAUCUUUAGAAAUUUCGAUUUCGGUUGAAUUGGAAUUUCGAAAUUUUAUUACAACAAGUAUCAGUACAUCCUAUACUAAUAUCUAGGGAUGAUGGACUACUUGAGGAUUUGUUGGAAGAAGACGAAUUAGAACUUAAAUCAUCUUCAGAUUGUCUGUAUCUUUUAAUUCUAGAACUUGGAUUAAUUGAAUUUUCUCUUCCUCAAAGAUCUUCAAUUGGUUGAUUGUUUUCUUGACUCGACAUUUAUUUGCAUAAUAACUGAAUUUGCCACACUUGUAGCAAUUUCCUUUUUGUUCUUGGUUUUUAAAGUGGAAUUUUCCUAAGGGUUUCCUCUUCCACUUGGGUUUUUCGUAAAAAUUAUUUGUUUCAAGAUUCUUAUUUUUGAAUUUGUUAUAUUUGGAAUGCCUCCUACUGGAAUACUUAUUUGGGUAUCUAUUUGGAUACCUAUUGUAGACUUCUGAUUUUUUCUUUUUAUUGGAUGGUGCAAUAGGAGGUAAUCCAUAUUGUUCACAAAAUGUUCCUAAUUUGUAUUUGGCAAUUGACUGGUCUUUGUUGACUUGUUUUGAGAUUUCAUAUCUAUACACAUUUUCAAUCCUUCUUUCUGGAUAAUAUUUAUAAUAUUCCCUUAAGUAAGGGCAUGAUAUGGUAUGACACCUACUUCAUUAACUAAGACAUUUCUAAUUUUAUGGGCAAAAAGGUUUGGUAAUCCAUUAAUAAAUUUUUCUUUCCAAAAUGGUUGAUUACUAUCUUCUCUAUGCAUGACUCUAGACAUGAAAACAUCCUUGUACCACCUAAAAUCACUUAAGGUUGGACAUCGUAGAUUACUAAGUUGAUUAUGAAUUCUAGAGGUGACAUUACUGAGUGUUCCUAUAAAAUGUUCAAUAAUGGUAAAGAGUAAUGUGUUGACCUAGGACUCCUUGUACUAUAUGCUCAUCAAAAAUGGGAAUUCCUUCUUCAUCAUUUUUAACUGCAUUUUUUAUUUCAUUUCUGGAUUGUUCAGUGAGGUGUUUUUCCUACCAAGAAUGAAGCAUUCAUGUAAAUCCAGUGACCAAAAGGUCGACAACUUGUGUUUGACUAAGAUUAUGAUUGGUAAUAUAACUAUUAGCAACCAUAGAGAUGUGUUGUAGUUUGUUCAAAAGUUCUUGUUCGGAUAAACCAUAUAUAUUCCAUUCAUAGAGUUUAUCAGAUGAAAUUGAGAAUUGAUUUUGAAUGUUUCUUUCUUCAAAUUGAAUGUCUGGAGGUGUGGGUCUUGGAUACCAAUUCUUGGUAAGUGUGGUUGGGCUAACUCUUCUAUUUGUUAUUCGUUUGAGCUCAAGAUUUUGAAAGGCUUGUUCUAUUUUCCUAAUGGAAUCUGUUUCAAUUUCGUUUUCUGAAUCCCAAAUUGUAGAAAUUGUUUCUACCUGAGAUUCCUCUGCGUGUUGCAAGACAUUAACUGUCUUUUCUUAUUUUAAUUCUUGUAACAUUUGGUCUAUUCUUUGACUUGUGGAAGUUGUUUUCAAGGCAAUUGUUCUAGAAGAAGAUUCUAGAAAAUUAACCAAAGGGUUUUUCCCUAUGUGUUGGUUUUGGUUGGGAAAGUUUAUCAAUUUUGGUUUCAAUUUUGUCUAAUUGUUUUCCUAUGGUGUGUAGACUCUAGUUUGUGAAAUUUUUUUGUUCGAUGACUGGCUUGACUCCUACAUCUUCUUUUGGAAGUUUGAAAGGAGUAGCUGGUACUUGUGUUUUUGCAGUUAUAAUUAAAAUCGUUUCUUGUGGAGGGUGACUGGAAGAGACUAUGGUUUUGUCUUCUUUGACCCAAUUUUCUUUGGUAAUGACUUCUAGCUUAUUUUCAGUCUCAUAAUAUUUUUCAACAAAGUCAAAGAAAAAUACUUCAAAUUUGUGAUGGUUCAUGAAAUUAGUCCAUUUAUUUUUAAUAUCCAAUUUUUGUUCUUUUGUGUAUUUGUUUCUGAAAAUAUUUUGUCGAGGAAUGUUUUUUGUGGCUUCUAUGUCAGCAUUGAGCUUCUUCCAUCGAAUUUUAAAUGGCUUAUUUAACACAAGUAAUUGAUGAUUAAUUUGACUUGCUUAGAAGUCAGAUGAUGUUGGAGAAGUUUGUUCUCCUUGAUCUUGAGAGUUGGGUUGGUAAACUGGAUGGGUAACUUGAGAAGUAGUUUCUAUUGAUUUUAAUUUGAUAUUAAUCAAGUCACUGAUUAAUUCUUGUUGAGUGACAGUUGAAUUUGUUUCUACUACCUUCAAUUUUUUGUUGAUGAAAGAAUUGAUGAGAUCUUGGUCUUGACUUACCAUGCUCGAAGAUGUGGAUCUAGCAAAAGAAUUCUUACUGGGGGCUAAGGAUUUAUGUGAGUGAGCAAACUCUUGUGGGUUAACGUUUGAUGUUCUGGAUGAUUGGUUAAAAUUGAUUUUAAUUGUUCCGUCAAAGUAUUGUUUUAUGUUGUCUAGGUUGACUAGGCUGUUCUGGAUACUAACAGGUUUACUUUCGUUAAUCAAACACCAAUCUGGGGGCAGACUGAUAUCGGACCACCUAAUGGUUAUGGGUAUUUUAAUAUUGGCGUUUUCUUGGUUGGUUUGGAUUAGAAGUGUGUGGUCUCUAGAGUUUUGACUAAGGCUUGGAAGUUCAUAUUUGUUCCCGUGACCUUAUAAUAAACUCUAAAAAUUAAGGCUAAUGGUUGGACUCCUUCAAGGAUUUGGUAUCUUGAAGUUUUGAUGUUUAAUUUGAGUGCUUUCAGCAUAUGAGGAUCUGAAAGACUUAUUGUGAGAUAUGGGAAACAAUCAAAAUGAAUUGGUCCAUUGUAGAGACUUGACUCAAUCAUUCCAAGAAUGCUAUCACUGAAGUCAGUGAAUCUUGCAUCUCAAAGACAUAACAUAAUAGAGGUAUUAAGGCCUCUUCUUGUUAAUGGUUUGACUGUUAUUUGGACUAAUCCUAUAUGGAUGUAAUUAUAACCAUCUUUUAUGUGGGUUUUGAUUUGAUCUGGGGUGAAUAAUUGACAAGUUUCAUGUUCUUUAUUAAGAGCAUAGGCUUUUUCAACUGUUUUUACAUGGUGUUCAAUUCUAAAAGAGGCUAUUGACCAUUUCUUUUUAUAAAUAUUUUUUUAUGAAACUUUGGGAAUAUUCCAAUCUCCAAAGUCGACACUGUCAUCUGUUUGAAAUUCUAACUUUUGUUUUUCAUCUACAAUGUCUGGAAUUGUUCCUAGACUAGAUCUAGAGCUAGUACUAGUUAUUGAAUUAGAUCUAAAUAAUCUACUUAGGUUGCUCAAAAUACAGAUUUACAAAACAAAAAUCCUAUUAGCUUUCCUUCUCGAUUACUUGCUAAAUUCCCUCUUCGCUCAUGCAAUCCGCUCAUGCCAAUUCUACGGACUUAUUGUUUGGAACACGCCUUACUGUUUGGGUUGGGAAUGAAACAAAUAACUCUAAAGGAUAACAAACAAGAUAACCUGCCUUAGAAGCUGAAAGAUGAACAAAUGAGAUUAUUAUCUUUAUAUUAUGUGUGUGUGUGUAUGUGAGAUUAUUAUCUUUAUAUUAUGUGUGUGUGUGUGAGAUUAUUAUCUUUAUGUUAUGUGUGUGUGUGUGUGUGUGGCAUACAAAUUUUGGGAAUUAUUUUGGUUCGUUUCAGGGAUUACAUCGCCAACAUGCAAGGCUAUUGCCAAUAUCUCCAAGAUCUUAAAGUAGUAUGUGUGUGUGUGUGUGUGACAUACAAAUUUUCGGAAUUAUUUUGGUUCGUUUCAGGGAUUACAUCGCCAACUUGCAAGGCUAUUGCCAAUAUCUCCAAGAUCUUAAAGCGGACACAUAAUUCUUGUUUGAUACAAACGAUAUUGGAGGAAGAAAUCAAACACAUAAUUUUUUUUGUAUAAGAAUGUACAUAGUUAGCUAUUAGAGUUACAAACCAAAAAACAGAUUAAGUUACAUGUGACCUUUUUAAUACAAAUAUAUGUUUACACUAAAAAAUGUGAGAAUAAAUUAGUAUUGAACUCGACAUUUUAUCUCUAACUUACAAAUAUUUUACAUUUGUUAAAGCUUUCUACGAAUGCAUAAAUUGUAGUAAGGUUGUACAACCUACCAACCUCUAGAAACCCAUCCAAAAAGGCUAAUCAUAGUGUUUUGAUAUAACAUAAUGCACACCUUUUAAAUUAGGUUCAACAAUCUAUGUCCUUAGGAGUCAAAUUCCACUUAUUAAGGGCUAGUUUGAUAUUAUUGUGUUUUGAAAAAAAAAAAACUAUUUUUGCUGUGAUGUGAGAAUAAGUAGCUGUGAAAUACAGCAGCAUAGUAUUUGGUAAACUUUUUUGUAAAAGUGCUUUUGGAAAAAGAAAAAAAGUAGUAUUAUAGUGUUUGGUAAACUUUUAUGUUAAUCAGCCGUGAUUGUGUGAAAUGACCAAAAAGGGUAUAAUACUAGAUGUGCCAUUAAUUUAAUUUUCUUAACAAAUAAAGGUGAAUUACUAAAUAUACUUUAUGUUUACAAGAAAAAAUAUUAAUAAACUUUAUCUCAAAUAUUAAUUAAGGUAAAUUACAAUUUAGCACCUCAACUUUAGGUCUUAUAACAAACGUCCCGUCCCCAAAAUUUCGGUUUUAUUAAAAUAUAUGAUUUUUUUUAUUAUGUAUUAUAUGUUACUAUAUUACUAUUAUGAUAUUUUUUUUAUUUAAUAUUACUAUUUUUAUGUGAGGAUUUUGUGUGGCCAUGGGGCCCACACCCCAUUUCCCUUCUCCACGUGUCUUCCUUUCCCUCUACAUUCCCGAACUCUCUCGAAAACUCACAGCCCUCUCUCUCUUUGCACUCUCUCCUCCACCGAGACAACCCCACGCACAAACCUUCGAUCUCAGACCAUCUCACCACCUAAUUAUCAUCAUCUCCACCCCUACGAAUUUAACUCCAAGUUUAGGUUACGAGAAUCGUGUUUUGGGUGUUGGGGAUAAGAAAAUCUGAGGACUCAAAUCCCUGAGCUCUUCGGCAAGAAUCAGGACAAAAUCCAACUGGUAUCAAACUUGGGCUCAACCCCUUCCAAUCUCAGGUAGGAUUUCCUUGCUCUGUCUAUUGGAUUUGAGUUAGAAUUUGAGUUAUAAACCUCUGUGACCUUUUGUUGCGUUUCCUAAUUUCCUGAAUCCUGAUGUGAGAGACCAGCAAGUUGCAUGCUUAAAUUUGAUGAAUUCGAGGUUUUACGAACUCAAUUUGGUUUCUAUUUGAAAAUUUAAAACUGUAAGGAACCCCUGCAUAAUUUUGUAGCUUUUCCGAUGAAGAAGUUCGGCAAUGUCUCGUUAGAGAAGGGCACGACUGAUGAUAGAGAAAAAGAAUGGUAGGAUUGGAAAAUUGAAAAGUUCAUUUAUUUUUUACUGUUCACCCGUGUUUUACCAAAAUAAGUUGUUCUGUUGAAGCUGCUAUUUCUAGCUUUUGGUUUUUAGCAUUUUUCACCCAUAACUUUGAAAAAAAAUGCUGAUUUAAAGUGUUUACCAAACACUUAAAAUGCUCCAAUUUUUUUUAAAGUUAAACUCAGGCCAAACCAGGGCGAAGGCGAAGAAGUACAGGGCUUUUUCACUCAUAUUUGGGGCUGAGGUUACCUUUUUUGACAUGCUUCCUUCCUUGCAGGGUUCUUCCAAGGCCAACUUAAAAAGAAAUUAUAAUUAAAGGGUUCGGGGAAUUGCAAAGUAAAGAGUUAAGCUCCAACAGAAGAAGCAAAGAAUAAAUUAUUAAUAAUCAUAAAAGUAUUGGAGUGGACCAUUAGCAUAAUGAUGAGAUGCAACUAAAGCUAAUGUGAGGUAUCAAGUUUGCCUUACUUAGAUGAUGAGUUUUAUAUUUAUUAUUAUGAAUGUUUUAUUGUAUAACCUUGCAUAAAUCUCUGACCACUUCUUUUUCUUGUUGAAACUUGAGGUAUCUCAUGUUGAAAUACCUCACAUCAACCGUAUCUCUGAGAAAAGAAGAAUUUAAAUAUCAAAACUUUACUCCAACUAAUACCGAAACCUUUUGUGAUAAAACUCCAAACCUGACAGAUUGUGUAGAUAGUAAUUUCUGCAUCUCACACCCUAAAGGGUAUGACUAAUCCCUUAUGAGGCCCAAAAAGUCAAAGACAUUUCAGUCUACAGUCAAAUAACACACGUCGUUCAAAAACCUUUAAUCAAAGAAUCAUUAGUUUUUUUGCUAGCUUCGUGUCUCGAACCAAAUUAAAGAGCAAACUUGACUUAAAAUUUUACCACAUUUUUGCUGAACCACUUGUCGUGGUUAAUCUCUCAGCACUUCUUAAAGUAGCAUAUCAUUGUGAAAAAUAAAAAUGGAAAAGAACUAAUAUGCAACCAAUUUUAAUUGGACCAUUAGAACAAUGACAAAGAGUGCAAACACAUGCAAUCAAUUUGUUAAACCAGAUAUGAUUAUGCAGGUGGAAAGUGUCCAAAAUGACCUGGCAGAAAGUGAUCAAGCUAAAUUGUGACUCUCAUCAUUCAUCGUGCAGUAAAAAAUUAUUUUAAAUUAUUUUAUUUAAAAUUAAAUAUAGUACCUAACGAAAGCUGAUUAUACAAU
rnacentral:lncRNA from 1 species